rnacentral:rRNA from 1 species
UACAGAGGGGGCAAGCGUUGUUCGGAUUUAUUGGGCGUAAAGAGCGCGCAGGCGGUCGUUCAAGUCGCGUGUGAAAGCCCCCGGCUCAACUGGGGAGGGUCACGCGAUACUGAUCGACUCGAAGGCAGGAGAGGGUAGUGGAAUUCCCGGUGUAGUGGUGAAAUGCGUAGAUAUCGGGAGGAACACCAGUGGCGAAGGCGACUACCUGGCCUGUUCUUGACGCUGAGGCGCGAAAGCUAGGGGAGCAAACGGG